AUUGAACGCUGGCGGCAUGCUUUACACAUGCAAGUCGAGCGGCAGCGCGGGGGCAACCCUGGCGGCGAGCGGCGAACGGGUGAGGAAACCAUCGGAACGUGCCCGAGAGUGGGGGAUAACGCCGCGAAAGCGGCGCUAAUACCGCAUAUUCUCUGAGGAGGAAAGUGGGGGACCGCAAGGCCUCACGCUCCCGGAGCGGCCGAUGUCGGAUUAGCUAGUUGGUGGGGUAAAGGCUUACCAAGGCGACGAUCCGUAGCUGGUCUGAGAGGAUGAUCAGCCACACUGGGACUGAGACACGGCCCAGACUCCUACGGGAGGCAGCAGUGGGGAAUUUUGGACAAUGGGGGCAACCCUGAUCCAGCCAUGCCGCGUGAGUGAAGAAGGCCUUCGG
rnacentral:rRNA from 1 species